rnacentral:misc_RNA from 1 species
UCGGUCAACUUAUGCAAAUAUUAGUACAUUCACAAAUAGCUCAGAAUAAAGAGAGUUGAUGAGAAUUUCAAAUGUGUUCAUAAAAAAAAAAAUUACAAAUGAGAGCAUAACAGAAGUUAACUUCUUCCAUUACCAGGAUGAGAGAAAUUGAUGCUGACCCAGCUAAUACGAACAUCUUUCCAAUGCAACACAAACUUACAUAAUUCGCAUGUCCAAAAUCUAUAAUUCUAUCUGCUAUCUGGGAAUUUGGCUGCAUAGAUCUGUGGCAUCAUUGGUGUUGCAGUGAUCAUCUUCCCAGCAAACCAUCUUCCAUGAAGAGCCCGUUGUGCAUUCAUCGCAGCUUGUGUAUUAUCAAAUUGCAAAUACACAAAACCAGCACUAUUUUUGUCCACGUAAAUAUGCUUCAAAUUUCCAAAUUUAGAGCAUUCAUCUUGAACAUCUUCUUUAAUAUCCAAAUCAAAGUCUGGUUCCGUCUCUAAUUUUGGGUCAAACAUAUUCUUCAAUAAUAAACAUUCACUCGGGAUGCUAAUUGUUUCCACAGAUGGAAUUGGUGCAGCAGGAAGUUGAUCACCCGUGCCUGUAAGCCCAGGUAGACCAAUAGAACCUGACAUAAGUGGAGCAACAGCAGAAACCGCAGGCGCAGCACUGAGAAUAGGUGCUGUUGGUACAGUAAGGCCACUACUGACAACAGGGGUUCCCAAUGAACCAGCAAUACUUGAGGCAGUGCCGCUGCGAUCCAACUUCCACAUCAAAGCCGCUCGAGAAUGUGCAUUCAGUGCCAAGCCACCACCUUCAUCAUCAUCAAAAUCACCAGUAUUUGUCCCACCUUCUUGCAUUCCGGUUUGGUCAGUAACAGUUGACACCUUGAUUGGCCGACCUGCAAUUUCCACUUGUCCAUUCAAAUUUAAGGCAUUUCUAGCAUCUUCAAGGCGUGCAAACUGAACAAAACCAAAGCCUUUGCAGUGCCCAGUUUCAUCAAGAGGCAAUUGCACCAACUCCACAGUUCCAAAUGGUUCAAAAACCUGGCGAAGUUGAUCUUCUGUUAUGUUGAAGUGCAGGUUGCCAACAUACAACCUUCUAGCCCCUCCAGAGUAUGGGGCUAUAAGUCCACCACCUGCAUUCAUUGUUGUUGACUGAACAAGAUUCUUUUCAGCUUC